CUGUGACUUAGAGAAUUAUGAGAAAAGAUAUUUAAAGGGAACAUGGUAGAUAACUAACCAAUAUAUUUCUUUCAGUUGUUUAUAAACUUGAAAUAGAUAGAACUGUGUGGUCCUUGAUAAGAAUCUACUGUGGUAGCUAUCUUCUGAUUGAAUUCCUUUUUCUACUGAGCAUCAACACAAAUGGUUGGAGACAAGCUGGAGUAAAUCAUUUCCUCACCUUUUAACUUAAUUCAAGAAACAAUUUGUCUCAUCAUCAUCCCUUUGAGGUAGUACAGCACAGAGUCUUGUGAACAUGUCCUUGCUAAAAGAAUGGCCAGCUCACUAGGAGUCUCCUGAGUGUUCUCCGCUCUCACAGAGCAUCUGACUUACUGGUACUCCAUAGAUGUACUCCACUCUGAGUGACUGAAUGCAAGGGUGUUCAUGAAUAACCUGAUCAGUGCUCAAGUCAACCUCCCACUAGAGGAUUAUUGAACUGUGCAUCAUUUUAUAUAUAUUUGUUUAUUAAAGGCUAUUCUGUGUAAUGAUAAUGAGGAACUUUCUCUCUUUUGUCUUCCCUCUGCUUUACAGAUUGCUGAAUUCCUGGUGAUAUUAUGGUUCCUGAGUCUUCUGCCGUGCUUCUUUGCUCCAAUUGGUAUCAUCCCAAUAUAUGUGUAUUCACUUGCGCUUUAUGGGUUUAUGCACUUCUUUCUUAUCAACCCCCCAAAAAACUUUCUACUAUAAAUCCAGAUUUUGGUUGUUUAAACUUCUGAACCAGAAUUUUGCAACAGAAAUACAUACAGAGUGCAAGCCACUGUUCAGUGCAUUCCUGCUUGGCUUCGCUUCAUCCAGUGCCUGUGCUGGUACCGUGACACAAGAAGAGCCUUUCCUCUUCCAGUAAAUGCUGCCUGGCAAAUACUCUACAACUUUCUUCACCCUGACAUUUCCAGCCCUUUACAACACUCACAAAGGACCAUUUUCUUCUUAACAAAAAGAAUAAGGCUAUGAGAUCUCAGCAAAACAACUGUGCCCUGCCCAUCACUUGGCUUUGGAAUAAAAAAAAAAAUAAUGAUAUAAACUCUUUGACUUCCAGGAAUGAUAUGAACAGGAACUGUAAGAGCAGGAAGUCCAGAUGCUUCUGAGAGGACCCCAGCUUCUAAUUCCCAUUUGUAGACGGCUCAGAUCAAGACAAUCUCUUCAUGAAACAACUCAACACCUACUAAGGACUCAGAGAGCUUUCCCAAGGACCUUUUUUGUACCAAGACAGAAGGUCAGCUUUCAUCUCCCCAUCUCUGAUAUCUUCAUCCUAUUUGUCCUCCCUCCCAAAUGGCUCUUUACACUGAAUUAUAGGCCAAUUAGUAAACCAUAGAUAUAUGGAAUGAAUAUCUGAGAGGCAGUUGCUGUCAGGACAACACUUGUGACAACAUAGAAGAAGAUAGGGCUCUCAAGGAUACAAGAGAUAUAUUACGGGGGUACUAAGGAUGAUGUCACUGAGAACUGCCAUGGACUACCUGCUAAACAGAUUUCCUUACAUUGACCAGAUUUGACGGUGCCCUUUCUAGGAGAGUCUCCUAUGACACAGUGGAAACCUUUUGUACUCCAUCUCUCUAACGCUAGAGACUUCUCUUUGCUGCAUUAGUGUUUACAUGGUCUGAAUGGACAAAAUUAAUCGGGACUUGGCAUGGGUAGAAAAGAUCUAGGAAGAUGGAGUGGAGGAGAUUCUUCUUGAUAAUAAUUUUGCUCCCUGGUCCAUUCCUGUGACAUACAGUUCAAUUUCCUAGUUUUUCUCUGUUUCCCAAAGGCCAUUAUUUUCCAUACAGACCUUUAAUUGAGUGAAUAUUGUAUUUCAUUUUCUAAUUCUUCAUUCCUAGAUAGGGCACUUUGUAUUCAUUCCUGAAAGUGUACUCAAAAAUUCUCUUUUACAAUUGCAUUUUUGUAAUGAUUUUGGCAAAAAAGAGGGCCGAAGUAUAGAGUGCAGAGAACAGUGUAAAUAUUUUGUACCUACUUCAAAUGAUAAACUCCAAAUUCUUAUUUUAUCCAAAAAUUAUCAUACAUCAGUAAAUCAAAGACAACAUGUACUAUACAAUUCGUUUCUCUAUUCCCAUUUGAUAUCAUUUCUGCAAUAUCUUCCUUCUUGUGUUCCCAUGGCCACACUUGAGGUUUUUGGAUAUUUUACAAUGAUUCUUUUUUCAGGCCAAACAUAAGACUUAGGUGGAUGGGCAGGGAAAGAAAUGUUUUGAGUUCAACUGAAACCUCAAUUUCAAUAAGUUCAUAAGGACAGGAGGGACCUUUGCAUCUGUAGAUUCUACAUUCUUGUUCUAGAUGCGCAGAAUCAAUGGUAAAUUCCAUCUAACCUCACAUAGGAGACAAUAUAUAUAUGAUAGAUAGAUAGAUAGAUAGAUAGAUAGAUAGAUAGAUAGAUAGAUAGACAGAUAGAUAGAUCUGCCACUAAAAUAAGAUAAGAUUGUUGAAGUUAAGAAGUGCAUUCUGCCAGGAAGAGGAUAUAGACAUUUCCUGAGAAACACAGCUAGAAUAUGUCAAUUACAUAAGUGAAUGCUUGUGGCAAACCAGUUACUUGUAAAUGGAACUCUUGUUGAUAACUUUUGAGAAAGGAUUACAAGAGGUAAAGGGGUUUGCAAACCCAUAAGAAAAGCAAUGUCAAUGAACCAGAGCUUUCUAGUACUAGACCAAUAUUCAACGAAUGUACAUGGACAUACCUAUGGCUCCCACUGCAUAUUUAGUACCAGAUGGCCUUCUUGGGAACCAACAGAAGUAGAAGCUCUUGUUCCUCCCUAUAUUUGAUUCACAGUUCAUGGGAAUGCAAAGGGGUAGUAAGGGGAUUAUAGUAGAAUGGGAGGUGGACUGGUUAGGGAUCUUAGAGACAGGAAAUUGGAAAAGGAAUAACAUUUGUAAUGUAAAUAUAGAAAUAUCAAAUUUAAAAAAGCUAUAUAUUUUGCUAAAAAAGAAAAAAAUGAAAGAAAUAAAAGAAAAGAAAACUGCCAAUUAAUUACACCCUUUGACUCAGAAAUCUAAAGGGUCACUGUCAGGGAAUGGUAGUCAGAGUAAUACUAGUUCAAAGACGAAGAUGGUGAAAUCUCAAAUAGAAGCAAUUUUCUCUCCCAGAUAUCAGUGUCAGACACAAUCUGCACUCUAGGAAUCCAAAGCACAGAGUAAUUUACUCUGAGCUGAGGACACAAUACUUGUCUUUCCCUUCUUCCUUAGGACCAAAACCAUCAGCUUUAAAGAAAACUGUGCCCUUUCCAACACUUGGCUUUGGAAAAAAGACAUGAAUGAUAUAAAUUCUCCGACUUCCAGGAACCAUAACUAGCAGGGAAGUCCAGAUGCAUCUGAGAGGCUCCCAUCUCCUGAUUACCAUAUUUGGAAGGCUCCAAUCAAUACUAUCUUUUCAGCAAACCUUCUCAACCACUACCCAGAAAUGACUGAGAUUUCCCAUGGACCACAUAUUUCUUUUUUUUUAUAACAAAGCAGAAGGCCAGCUUCCUUCUUCCCAUCUUUGAUCACUUCAUCCUCUUUUUUCUCCUUCCCAAAGGCUGUUUAUGCUGAAUUAGAGGCCAAAUAGUAAACCCUAGAGGUACUGAAGGACUACUGGAGAGGCAACUUCUGUCAGGACAACACUUGUUACA